CCGUGGCUCAAUUGGAUAGAGCAUCUGACUUCGGAUCAGAGGGUUGGGGGUUCGAAUCCUCCCGG
rnacentral:tRNA from 1 species